AAUUAAAAAAAAGAUAAAAAUGAAAGACUGGUGCAUUGUGCAGUUCAGCACUGGUGGUACACAAAUAGUCCCUAGUUCAUGGAUAAAUGGGGAGAAAUUGUCAUGGCCUCAUAUCCUCCGCGAGACACAUUCAGGAUCCAUGCCGCAGUAAAGAGGAGAGUUCAUCCUGGUGCAACAUGCCUCACCUAUGCACCAGUCCGGCUUCUCAUAAGCCAUGACACAUUUCACGAAGCAGAACGCAGUCUCCAGAAAUAUCUACGUGAACACUGUGAUACGUCUGACCUUCAGUCCGAACCAGAAACACAGACCAGUCAUAAAAGAAAGCACAAACCAAAUCCCCUGUACACGUAUACUGACUCAGAGGAUGAGCAGC